GACGAACGCUGGCGGCGUGCUUAACACAUGCAAGUCGAACGGUGAAGCGCCUUCCUUUUUGGUGGGUGUGGAUGAGUGGCGAACGGGUGAGUAACACGUGAGUAACCUGCCCCCUUCUUCUGGAUAACCGCAUGAAAGUGUGGCUAAUACGGGAUAUUCUGGGUCUGUCGCAUGAUGGGUCUGGGAAAGAUAUUGUUUCGGUGGGGGAUGGGCUCGCGGCCUAUCAGCUUGUUGGUGGGGUGAUGGCCUACCAAGGCGGUGACGGGUAGCCGGCCUGAGAGGGUGGACGGUCACACUGGGACUGAGACACGGCCCAGAAUCCUACGGGAGGCAGCAGUGGGGAAUAUUGCACAAUGGGCGCAAGCCUGAUGCAGCGACGCCGCGUGAGGGAUGGAGGCCUUCGGGUUGUGAACCUCUUUCGCCAGUGAAGCAGGCCUGCCUCGUUUGUGGGUGGGUUGACGGUAGCUGGAUAAGAAGCGCCGGCUAACUACGUG
rnacentral:rRNA from 1 species